rnacentral:rRNA from 3 species
UAGUCAAUGCUCGCAAGAGUGAACUAGCUAACUGAAAUCAGAUAGUUUAUAUAAACUACUGAUGUCGUAAGGGAAAAUAAUGAUAAUACCUUACUAUUAGUGUCGUCCAAAUCUGGUGCCAGAAGACUCGGUAAGACCAGAGACGCAAACGUUAAUCAUCAUAAUCAGGCGUAAAGGGUUUGUAGGCAGCAUUCACCAAACUAUAAAUAAUAAAAUAAAGUAGUUUAAUUGAUUGCUAGAAUCAAAAAGAGGUUAUAGUGUAUAACGCCUAGAGGAGGGCUGAUAUCCAUAGAUCCUAGGCAGAAUACUAAGGGCGAAGGCCACUCUCCACUAAUGAUUGACGCUGAGAAACGAAGGUUAGGGUAGGAAAUAGGAUUAGAUACCCCGGUACUCCUUUCUGUAAACGAUGAAUGGUAGUCAUUAGUUAAUAAACUAGAGACGAAGUUAACACAAUAACCAUUCCGCCUUGUGAGUACUACUGCAAAGUAGAAAACAAAAAAAUUAGUCGGUCUCGAAGCAAACGGAGUGAAGCAUGUUAUUUAAU